ensembl:snRNA U2 U2 spliceosomal RNA
CUUAUGAUAAGCAUAUGUCCUCCACUGGAGGUCUAUAUUGAGCAGAUUCUUUUUGGUGUUGGGUGGUGGAACUGGAGCUUGCUCCAUCCACUCCAUGCAUUGACCUGGUAUUCCAGUGCUUCCAGGACCAGUGG